rnacentral:lncRNA from 1 species
UUCCAUAUUUUUAUUUUGACUUGGUAUUUUGAAUUUAGAUAAGUAUAUGGGCAUUGCUUCCUGCUCCUUAUUUUUUGUUUCUUGCACCCCUUUUUAAAUUCCAAAUUUUCCUAAUUGUAGUAGACACAUGAUAGAGAGGUGGUUGUUGUCGACAUUGAUCCCUCUCCCUUCAAGAUGCUAAUCUCACACCUCAUGUCCUCCUCAAAUAAGCAAUGCUCCCAUGCAGACCUCCUUCACUCCUCCAUUCCUCCUCACACAACUCCUUCAUUCCUCGUCGCACCUCCUCAACUCCUCAUCACAUCAGGAGGCACGUGCCAUGUAUGCAUCCUUCUCUAGAGGUAGCUCACACAUGAUGAAUCCGACCUUUGAUUGCACCUCUUCUCUCAUAAGAAGUCCUUCCUCAAAUCGCUCAUCCUUUCUCAAUUCAAAUUGAGAACGCCUAAUCCAUCUCCAAGAAACUCUGCAACACCAUUUCUGAGGAGGGAGCAUUCAAUGGAGGUUUUCUCGAGCUUUUCAAGGUUCUCAAGGUUUUGAUAGCAACAUUGAUUUAAGGCUCGAAUGGCUUUGCCUGUUGUGUGUGUCGUGUUUGUGUGGGUUGCGAGAAAAGCAUUGCGUUCAUGUAGUAUUAUGUAUUUUUUUCAAACAUGGCUUUUAUUUUUGGAUUGACAAUUCUAGAAUAGUAAAAUUUUGUUUUCAUGAUUCUAGAUUGUACAUUCCGAAAUCAUGCAUAAAUAAUUAGGGAAUGGGAAAUCCAGAAUUAUGUUUGUGUAAUUAUGGAAUAGACAAUCCAAAAUUAUGUUUGCGUAAUUAUGGAAUGGACAAUCCAGAAUUAUUUAUCCAUCCUAGAAUUAUGCAUACAUGU